rnacentral:rRNA from 1 species
UUAAAGGUAUUUUCCGGUAGACGAUGGGGAUGCGUUCCAUUAGAUAGUAGGCGGGGUAACGGCCCACCUAGUCAACGAUGGAUAGGGGUUCUGAGAGGAAGGUCCCCCACAUUGGAACUGAGACACGGUCCAAACUCCUACGGGAGGCAGCAGUGAGGAAUAUUGGUCAAUGGGCGAUGGCCUGAACCAGCCAAGUAGCGUGAAGGAUGACUGCCCUAUGGGUUGUAAACUUCUUUUAUAAAGGAAUAAAGUCGGGUAUGCAUACCCGUUUGCAUGUACUUUAUGAAUAAGGAUCGGCUAACUCCGUGCCAGCAGCCGCGGUAAUACGGAGGAUCCGAGCGUUAUCCGGAUUUAUUGGGCUUAAAGGGAGCGUAGAUGGAUGUUUAAGUCAGUUGUGAAAGUUUGCGGCUCAACCGUAAAAUUGCAGUUGAUACUGGAUGUCUUGAGUGCAGUUGAGGCAGGCGGAAUUCGUGGUGUAGCGGUGAAAUGCUUAGAUAUCACGAAGAACUCCGAUUGCGAAGGCAGCCUGCUAAGCUGCAACUGACAUUGAGGCUCGAAAGUGUGGGUAUCAAACAGGAUUAGAUACCCUGGUAGUCCACACGGUAAGCGAUGAAUACUCGCUGUUUGCGAUAUACGGCAAGCGGC